AUUUCCUCUGCUAAAUCCUCUCUUUUUCUACGCAGACUUUGCAAAUGCAGCUCUCUCUCUCUCUCUCUCUCUCAUCGUGCUCAUAACCAUGUCUAGUUUGUGUUUUGUGCUGAUUCUCAUCGACUGUCGAGAUCUAAGUGACUCGAUGUCGUUCACUUUGCUUUGUCGACUGAAAUGUGGUGGUAGUGGUUUCCGAUUGCUUUGGUCGUUCCUAGCUGGUCGAAGUAAGUGAGGGCUUAGUUACUAUUGGAGUAGAAGUUGAUGUUGAGAGAGAGAGAGAGAGAGAGAGAGAGAGAUUGAUUUUGAUGGUAUAGUUUGAUAGCCGCGCGGAUUACUAGGUGAAUGUGAGUGAAUGAAGUGCGGCGCAGAUCGUCUGUGUUUUGCUGAUAAAAUUUGGAGGAGGAGAUGGGUUUUAUUUCUCAUACAUCUU